UUGCUGCUGGAGAUGUAGGGCUUGGGAGUCUCCACUGUGCAAAUAACAGAGAAGAUUGCCCUGUGUGGCACCUUUGAUUCCCCCAAAGACAUUUUUCAAUCAGAGAUAGCCUUUCCCACCUCUCAGCCUACCCCAGUCCUUAAAAGCCCAUGGCAGAUGUGUGUGUUACAAGACAGAUGCAUGGCAAUCUGAGGGCUCAGAGAUUGUGAGGCUGCCUGCUUCAUGUGGGAGAAGCACAGACUUUCUCAAGUGUGAAUUGAGCAGCAGCGUUGGGUCAUGGAAAGAUAUGGGACCAGCAGUCACAGCCCCUGGUGCCUCUCUGAGUCCCUCCCUCUCCAACUGCCUGGCUGGCCCACCUUGGGGUCCUCACCUGGAGCAUGCAGUGCUGGAAUCUUCUUAGUUUCAGUCUUACUUUGUCCCCCAAGGUAUGCUUUCUCUGCACCUUCCCUUUCCAAGGACAUCCUAGAGAUGGAUGAUGGAACUCCCCAUUGUCCUUAAACUUUGGGUACUGGGAAGCCUGGCCUGUGAUUGUGUACUUCAGCAGAAAUAACACAGGGGAGACCAGAGUCAAGCCUGGAGGUCAGUUCAGUCAUCAGGCAGUGGAGCUACAAGUUGGGGCAGUAUUCCCAGCUGUCUCAUAGUGAACUGACUUGAGCCAGUGAUCUCUAAAGAUAGAACAGAGUCCAUGGGAUGACCUACAAAAAGUGAAGGCGACAAGCAAGAGCUGAUAGCUUUGGACCAAGACCACGUUCCCUGUCCUGUAUGCAUGAUGUUCCCUUCCCCCUGUAGAGGGCAGGUGAUUACCAUGUGUAUCUUUCUAGAAAUACAUGUGGAUGUUUGCAAAUGCAGAACUGAUUGUGGAAAGGCCGAACUUGAAGUGGUGAUGGAAAUCUGGCCCUCAUGGACCACACGGGUUUGGUGGCUAUUAGACCAAUGUUUGGGAAGAAGUCUUGCGGAUACUUUCUCUCAUUAGACAUUCUACUCUCUGAUAUUGAAAUACAACUCGAGUUUCAGUUUAUGUGAAUUAGGAAGAGUCCAAGUGAGACGCCAAUGGCUCAUGUGCCUCCCACACGAAGAACUCCAACUUAUGAAAAUGGCAUCAUCAUGAGGAAACAAUCAUAUGUGCCACAGGCAGUAAAACCACUAGAUAGCAGCCACCUGGCCACCUCCAACAGGUCCCCAAAACCACCAGUAUUCCUAUUACGUGUGUGUUACAGACUUGGUAGUUGUCCCACAACUACAACAUUUAAAAAUUGCAAUUGUCAAUACAAAAUGUUACAUAUGAAGUUGAAAA